UGGGAUGUAGCUCAACUGGUAGAGCACCGCACUGUUAAUGCGGGAGAUGCAGGUUCGAACCCUGCCGCCCCAGCCA
rnacentral:tRNA from 1 species